GACGAACGCUGGCGGCGUGCUUAACACAUGCAAGUCGAACGGAAAGGCCCUGCUUUUGUGGGGUGCUCGAGUGGCGAACGGGUGAGUAACACGUGAGUAACCUGCCCUUGACUUUGGGAUAACUUCAGGAAACUGGGGCUAAUACCGGAUAGGAGCUCCUGCUGCAUGGUGGGGGUUGGAAAGUUUCGGCGGUUGGGGAUGGACUCGCGGCUUAUCAGCUUGUUGGUGGGGUAGUGGCUUACCAAGGCUUUGACGGGUAGCCGGCCUGAGAGGGUGACCGGCCACAUUGGGACUGAGAGACGGCGCAGACUCCUACGUGAGGCAGCAGUGGGGAAUAUGGCACAAUGGGCGGAAGCCUGAUGCAGCAACGCCGCGUGCGGGAUGACGGCCUGCGGGUUGUAAACCGCUUUCGCCUGUGACGAAGCGUGAGUGACGGUAAUGGGUAAAGAAGCACCGGCUAACUACGUG
rnacentral:rRNA from 1 species